AUAAACAUCAGCACAAAAAUCAGAUUCUGAGGAACGAAAGAUGCUCUACAAGAAAUCAGCGGUGCACUUGAUAUUAGUACUACAGCUAUCGUUUUCUCUACUCUGGCCUCCAUCUUCAACUACAAACACUCACUUAACCGUGAAGGAGAGGAAUGAAGUGAUACAUAGAAAUCUAGCGUCAGGAAAACCAAUUCCAUGUCCUCCACGUUUUCGUGGUUGUCAUCCAGGUGGUGCUGUUACGAUAUGCCCUCCUGACUGUUCACAGCCAAAAGGAAAUUGUGUUACCAGGGCAACCUAAAUGAAUGGUUAUUAGACAUGAUUACUUGUGAUUUUGUAUUCUGAUGGGCUUUAUAUAUUUCAAAUAAAUUUAGGAGGUUACAAUUUUAUAUAA